CUUUGGAAAUGAAAAAAUGAAUUAUGAUGAAGGAGACAUUAGAAGAUUGAAAAAUAUGGGAGUAAAAGGAAUAUUAUUAGCAGUACAUAAAAAGGAAAGUUGAAGACCAAUAUUAUUAAGGGCAGGGUAGUUUUAGAAGAGAUGGGAGGAGUUGCAGAUAAAAGAACAGUCAUGAAAAUCACAAAAAGAAAAUUCAUUAAGGGAUAAGUAACAAGCGUGAGCAUGGAGAUGGUUAUGCCCAAAUCUGAGGCGGGAGUAAGAGAUAAUGGUACUUUGAAAAAUGGGGAUUUGGUGGAACCAGGGAAGAGUAUGAUAGAAAGACAGGUAAGGCAAAAAGAGGAAGCAAAGAUAGGAAAUUAAUAUUUUAAACCUAACAUUAAAAUAAUUGAACAUUAUAUUUAAUUAAAAAUGGAAUUUCUUGAAGCAAAAUUAUUAAUUUAUGUUAUAUAUACCAUAUACCUUGUCUGUCUUUAGGCAAACAAAGAAAAUAAAUUAUUAGAAGUAUUGUUAAAUCAAUAAGGUUUAUUGGUAUUUAACAGAAAGAUACUACAUAUAUUCUCAAUAUUUAAACAUACCUAGGUACUUACCUACAAUAUUAUUUCACUU